CCUACGGGAGGCAGCAGUAGGGAAUAUUGCUCAAUGGGGGAAACCCUGAAGCAGCAACGCCGCGUGGAGGAUGAAGGUUUUCGGAUUGUAAACUCCUUUUGUUAGAGAAGAUAGUGACGGUAUCUAACGAAUAAGCACCGGCUAACUCCGUGCCAGCAGCCGCGGUAAUACGGAGGGUGCAAGCGUUACUCGGAAUCACUGGGCGUAAAGAGCGCGUAGGCGGGAUAGCAAGUCAGAUGUGAAAUCCUAGGGCUUAACCAUAGAACUGCAUCUGAAACUGGUAGUCUAGAGUAUGGGAGAGGUAGGUAGAAUUCUUGGUGUAGGGGUAAAAUCCGUAGAGAUCAAGAGGAAUACCGAUUGCGAAGGCGACCUGCUAGAACAUAACUGACGCUGAUGUGCGAAAGCGUGGGGAGCAAACAGGAUUAGAUACCCGAGUAGUC
rnacentral:rRNA from 1 species